UUUUUUUUUUUUUUUUGAGAUGAGGUCUUGCUUGUUGCCCAGGCUGGAGUGCAGUGGUGAUCAUAGCUCACUUCAGCCUCUAACUCUAGACUCAAGCAGUCAUCUCACAUCAGCCUCUGGAGUAGCUGGAACUACAGGUGUUUGCCACCACACCCAGCUACAUUUUUUUUUUUUUUUUUUGAGACAGAGUCUCACUCUGUCACCCAGGCUGGAGUGCAGUGGUGCUAUCUGCUCACUGCAGCCUCUGCCUCCUGGGUUCAAGUGAUUCUCCUGCAAAAAUUGCUUCCUUUUCUACACUUGUUCUGUAUUUAUGUUCCUCUGAUGGUCUCCACUUCUAGCCACUUUCUUUUUUCGGCGAUUUAAGUUUUUGGCCCAAAUAGAUAAACAUCUUAUACAUUAUUUUUCUCUUAUUCUCGAUACUGGGUUGCCAUCUUUGGUGAUUUAGUACUUACUAUGAAAGAGAGAAGCUACACCACUUGAUACACUUUCAUCUGCAUACUCAUGAUAAUUUGUAUCUUCUGCAGUGAACUCUUCAGUUGAAGAAAUGAAUCAUUUAUAUGUAUAUUUAUAUACUUUUAAAAAUGUACUUGAAAAAUCCUCUCAUAGUUACUUACUCCAAGGUUUAAAAAUGCUUCCCAGGGUAAUGAGUUUCUUUAGUCAUGUGACUUUAGAAAUGGGAACCAAAGCUUCCUUAUCUACUUGUGAAAUUCUUGAGUUUUUUCCUUGAACUUCCUUUUUAUCUUCCCUUUGGCUUAUAUAUCUGUGUUUUUUUGUUUGUUUUUACUUGCAGCUUUCAAAAGUAGUUUUCGAAGUCAAUGAGAUUGUUUAAAAGAGUAGGUACCUGACAGUCUCUUGCUUGAAUACUAUCUGGUGAGUGAACCAAAUUCCCUGCAACAAUAACCACAACUUUGAAUCAAGAGUUAAAUGAAAAAAGUAACUCCUUCAGCAUUUACUGAGCACCUGCUGGGGCUGAGGAAUGAGAGCGUGUAGAUCUCCCUCUGCUGUCUGGAGCUCCCUUUCUGGUUGGAAAACAUAGAAGCAGCGCAAAAGUUUCGCCCAAAACCUUGGCCGUGGUAUGCUAUUGAAACCCCACAGUUCAGAUUUUAUACUUGACUUGAGUUCUUUUCUAAGCCAUGGCUGGAUUAUAUUAAUCUGGCAAAUAAUUAUAAAGCUGGAUUAUUUUAAUCUGGCAAGUAAUUAUAAGGUUGUGCUCCGUGAUGGAGCUAUUAAUAAAAUAUGUGGUAGCACAGGCAAGUUGUAUAUAGCACAAAGCUAUACCCCCAGAGGAGACACUAUAUCAGUUGCUGUCUGCCUAGGCUUUCUGUAAACAUGCUGGCUAUCAUUCAGCCUAAAUGUAGAAUGAGUCUAUCCCUUUAACCUGGGCCGUCAUCCAACCAGGAAUGUAAAGGAACCUAGAACGAGGACCCAGGCAAGAGAUGAGAAACUAGGGGACAGAUGAGUAGGUACCAGGGAUGGUGAUGAGACUGAAGCAAGUGGGGAAUUUUUAUUUUCUUCUCUGCUUUUCUCUAUUUUCCAGAUUUUCUUAGAGCAAAAAGCAGGUAGUGCUUUUUACAGAAAAUGAAUGCUAUAUAAAAGUAAUUUUAAGAACUUUAUAUAUCCCUAGUAUUAUGUACAAUUUCUGACUUUGAAUAGAGCUAUCUCCCAAAGGGCCAAGUUUGGCCCUUUAGUUACAAUGGAGAAUCUGUUGUGUAAACUGAGCAAAUACACCUGCCAAGUUGAAAUUUAAUUUAAGCCAAUCUUGUCUAGAUGAACUUAAGAGAAUGUCUCCUAAAUAUUUUAUUGCAGUAGUGUAGCAUGAUUGAUAGUAUGCCAUUCUCUUGAAUAGAUGGGGUUGUUUCUUGAGCCACUUUUUAUUCCUUUGAUCAAAACCUUGAGGAGAAGGAAUGCCUGUUUUCCCGACUGCUGUUGCAUGAAGUUAGACAUGCAGUUCCUCUAAAGGUGACAUCAGAUGGUUUAGAUACCUAAAAAGAAGUGAGGCUAAGCCAUAGGUCUUCUUCGUACUACCUGAAGUUGAGACCUGGUCUCUGAACUCAGUUAUUGCUGAAGCAUUAAAAUCUUAUAUCUUGCUUAAACUCAGGCAGCUUGACCUGUUCUCAUUUUUCUCUAUCAAAUAAAUUGAAGCCUGGUAAUAAAUUGAUGAUGAGUUCCAAACAUCCCCUUGGUUGGAGACAUUGUAUUCUCCCCACUCACAAUGAGGUCCUGCCAGUUUCCAGAAAGUUUUGCAUGGGGGCUUACCCAUCCUUUUAGAAUCACAUUGCAAGUCACUCUAAAGCAUUAGCAUUGUUAUCUCAUGUAGCUGCAAAAGCUUCCUUUCACAAGCUCUUCUGGAUCCAACAACCAGAUUCCAAGUAUGGUAUCUUAACUACACCACCAGCUCCAUCUUGCUUCAUUGUAUGUUACGAAGGGAUGAGUAAGCGUUACACAUGGGCUGCAAUGGUCCAGUGAUGACCAGUCUGUUCAAGACCCAAGAGGGCUGAGAUUGGCAGCCUUGGCCAUUGUUUACCACAGCCUAAUGAAGAUGAGUAAAAGCCUAUCUAUCCCCAAGGACCUCCACAUAUGACAGUACUCAACUGAGUCUCACAUAGGAUAGAAUAAGAUAAAAUGCUGGAAGAGAACACAAAUAGUGCUACAAAGCAGGAAGAGAGACUUGAUUUGGGGAUCAAGAGAAGCUUAUAGAAGAGACAUCUUGAGAGAUAAGAUAUAAUUUCAGGUACAGACUGAGAGGAGGGAAGGGGCUUUCCAAAUGGAGGCAAAUGCUUGAGUGAAGUUGCUGGGACAGAAAAAUACUGUCCAGGGAACAUUGAGAUAUUUUUGGUUCGCAGUUAGAUUAUGGGUUGGGCUGAAGUGGGGAUGAUACUCUUAGUGCUUGAGCUAUGUAUCAGAAGUUUGUCUGUAGUAUUAUGCACAAUUUCUGAUUUUGAACAGAGCUAUCUCCUGCAGGGCCACUCUUGGCCCAUUAGUUACAUUGGGCAAUCCGUUGUGUAAGCUGAGCAAGUAUACCUGCCAAAGUGAAAAUUUAAGUUUAGUUAAGGGCACUACAUCAACUGAUUUAGCUCCCUUGCUCCUGGUUUCUUUACCCAUGUUUCUAUAUCCAAUUAGAUGAUGAUUUAUGAUCUUUUGAUUUAGAUGCUUUCUCAUUUCUGAUUCAUUCUCAUUUUCUGCAGCCUACAUGUAAGUGUUAGGAACCACGGAAGUUAUUGGCGAUAAUGUCUGGUUGGAAUUUGUGGGAGCUUCCCUGAGAGUCAUGAAAAGUCUGUUCUUAGUCUGUUUUGUGCUGCUAUAACAAAAUACCCACAACCAGGUAAUUUAUAAAAAACAGAAAUUUAUUUCUCACAGUCUGGAGGCUGGGAAGUCCAAGAUCAAGGUGCUGACAUCUGGUGAGGGCUGCUCCCCGCUUCCAAUCUGGUGCCUUGAACACUGCAUUCUAUGGAGGGGAGGAAUGCUGUGUCUUAACAUGGCAAAAGGUGGAAGGGCAAAAAAAGAAAUAAACUCCCUUUAUCAGCUCCCUUUGUAAGGGCAUCUAAUCCCAUUCAGGAGGGAGGCGCCUCCAGGGAAUGAUCACCUCUUAAAGGCCCCACUUCUUAAUCCUAUCAUAUUGGCAAUACCUGAACUUUGGAGGGGACACAUUCAAACCAUAGCAGCCUCAUCAAAGAAUUUUAUAAAAUAUGACUUCUAAUUUUAUGUCAUUUUAUAACUGGGAUCAUCUGUUGUUCUGCACGCAAUGGAGGGGGAAGGUGAAUUUUGUUAUGUUCAAGAUGAAUGCACAAAACUUCUGUGAGAUGGCCACAUUCUACUUUACCCAGAAUUGUGCAACCUCUUCUGCUUUUAGAAACUUCUGGAUGACACUUUGUUUCAUGUUCAUAUCUCCACUGGGGCUUCCCAGACACCUGAAAGUUGAGGUUUGCAUGCUGCUUUCUGCAGCUGGCAAGACAGGUUUCUCCAUUGCCGCCCAGUUUGUGGGGUUGCUAAGAAAUUACAUUUGCAUUCACGCCGUGGCUCACUGGACAUGACAUUGCUUUCAUGCCAUACGAUGACCUUGCUUCACUAGAGAAGCAGUAGAAAGAAGGGAAUGUUAAGUACGUCUUUGGAUGGCUUAGCUGGUCAUGCUGCAUGCUUUGCUACUGAUUACAGGGAACAAUAUGUGCCUUUGUUACCAGAUAGUUUGGGGGCAGCGUUGGUGUUCUGUGAGAAAGGUUGAGAGGCCUGACUAAACUUAACCACAUUUGCUGACACCUGGUUAGGGCUAAUGUGGGUACCAGGGAAGUGUGUUAAGUGCUUCAAUAGAGGUGUUUUGUUUUGUUUUGUUUUGUUUUUGGAGACGGAGUUUUACUCUUGUUGCCCAGGCUGGAAUGCAGUGGUGCAAUCUUAGCUCACUGGCAACCUCCACCUCCCAGGCUCAAGAGAUUUUUGUGCCUCAACCCCUCGAGUAGCUGGGAUUACAGACAUGCAGCACCACAGCCAGCUAGUUUUUGUAUUUUUAGUAGAGACAGGGUUUUGCCAUGUUGGCCAGGCUGGUCUUGAACUCCUUGCCUCAAGUGAUCCGCCCGCCUUGGCCUCCCAAAGUGCUGGGAUUGCAGGUGUGAGCCACCGCGCCUGGCCAGUUCAGGCAUGAACUUUAGAAAGUUCACUUAGAUGGAAGGUAGAUUUGGAGAGGGUAAGGUCUGAAGCAGGGGGAACAGAAUGGCUAGGGGAAUGAGUUUGGAUGAGAGAUGGAUGGUAGGCACCAGCAUUUAAGGGUCAGGUGCAGAAAGAGUAUGCUGAGGAGUAGAAGAAAGUUAGAGAAGGGUCUGUGUAGAAUAUAGUGGUGUGAGCUCAGCCAAGGGAGAAGAGUUUCAAGGAGGGAUGAAUUAGCAGUGUCAGCUGGAGUUGAGCAGUCAGAUGAAAGAGGACUUCCAAGUUUUUGGAUGUGGCAACCAGGAGGUCACCAGGGCCUCAACAAGAGCUGUGUCAUCAGGGCUGGGAAACUAGCAGGGGCAAACGAGGCACUGGCUUCAGGACAACAUGUGAGGGGGUGCUCAAAAAGUCAGUCAUCAAGAUAGAUAAUAUUUUAAUGCAAUAUUUUAAAAAACAGACAUAAAUGCAAAAAAUCUAUGAUGAACAAAAUACCAACAUUUUAAAUAAAGACAGCGUCAGUAUUGCUGAUUGUCCCUUUUGCCUCAGAUUCCAGUAUGGCUCAGGACUGAGUGUGGCUGUGUAGAGGAGAUGGUGGUGAGGGGAUCCAGGUGGAGGCAUGUUGAGAAGUGAAUUGUGGUUGAAGAAACUGAAGCACUGAGUACAGACUAUUCCUUCAUGAGGUCCCAGCUUUAUGUGAAAGGGAGUAAAGUGAAAGGAUGGUCGGUCUAGGGGACCCUCAGGCUUUUUUGAGGGUUUGGCUUUAUUUUUUAAGAUGGAAGAGACUUGCACAUGUUUACAAGCUGGGAGGAGCCGUCUCUGGAGGUAGAGAGGAUGAAGAGAGUAGACAUAGGGGCUUAGUAGAGACAGGAGGGCACGCAGGGAGGCUUGGCCCUAGGCAAGCAGAGGGACAGGAGGGACCAGCUGGGGCAGUGGAAAGGUGGAAGGUGGCAGGAGUUUGUGCCUGAUACAUGGAUGAGAAAUGGCACUGGGGGUGGUGUUGGGAUGGAAGAGAGUUGUGGAGUGUUGGAGGUUUCCCACACUCCUUGAAGGGUGUGGGAAAGGAGCUGAACAGAGUCUUCCUGUAAAUGAAACUGUUGAGCAGCCGUAGGGGCCCAGCUCAGGAAACCACCAGGGUGUGGUGGUAAGUAGUUUUCAGAUUGUGUUAUCUCUUCUCCCUUCCUUCGGAACUUGCUACUGGAGGUGUAGGAGUGGUAGAGGCUUCCUCAUUAAGGCAGGGGUGCUGGAGUGAUCAACCAUCCCUGUUUGCCUGGGACUGAGGGGUUUCCUGGGACUCGGUCACCCUAGAUGUUGCAGGGCUGGGAGUCAGGAGGGAAAAAGGCCAGAUAAUUGAAAAUGCUGGCCAGAGUUUGUAGCAUGCGCUGUCUGAUUGUUGUACCUGAGCGAGUUAGAGAAAACGCCACACUUUGAGAUGAAUUAAGAGUCCGUUUAUUUAGCCAGCGGCCAAGAGACGGCUAAAGCUCAAAGUUCUCUCAGCCUCGAAGAAGGGGCUAGAUUUUCUUUUAUACUUUGGUUUAGAAAGGGGAGGGGGGGUCUAGUUAAAACAAUUUUACAGAAGUAAAGUAGGCAAAAAAGUUAAAAGGAUAAAUGGUUACAGGAAAGUAAACAGUUCCAGGUGUAGGGGCUUUAAGACUAUUACAAGGUGAUAGACGCGGGGCUUUGGGCGUUACCAAUCUGACGAAUUCCUGGGAACUGCGGAUAUUGCUGGCCACAGUAUCUUAUCAGUUAAUUGCAUUCUUGGAUGUGCUGGGAGUCAGCUUGCACAAGUUAAGUCCUUGAGGAAGGGGCUGCCAGUGAAACAGCCAAGAUGGAGUCUGUCUGGCUCUCUUAGCUAAGGGAGAGUCAAUUCAGGUGAAAACAAGGCUAAGUGAUUAAAGGAAAGGGAGAGUCUAAAAACAGCGUUAGUAAAAACAAGGUUGGGCAUUACAUGAUCACUGGGUCUCCACUGUCAGAGGGUCUUUGAGCUCAGUUCUAGUGGCAGCCUCCUGAUCCUCACUUCCCUGGCUGAGGUAAGGUUGUUGCAGCAGCCCCAGGAGUCUUUGUUAGAAUCCCACCCCAGAGCUCCUUCCUCCAGUCCUCUCAGCAGUUUUGUUAGUUCCAGUAUUAAGUGUAAUUUCUACAAAAAAUGCCUGGAGUAUUUCUGUUUGCAGAACCGGAUGCUCCUGUUAGCUACUGUGUGAAAGAUAACUCUGACUUGCCUAAGCUUUGUUGACGUUUUGAAUAAUAAUUGGCGAUAGUCUCUUGACUUCUGCAAGAGAAAUGAAACAGAAAUUGGUCUCAAGUUUUAGUUGCUCUUGUGAAGGUCAGGGACAGUUUGUACCAGGGUGUGGGUGUGGAAAAGAAGGGGAGAUAUAGUCAUUAAAUUAGAAUAUGCCUGUGAGGGGAGUUAAGGGGAAUUCCUUUAAAAUUCUAGAAAACACACAUAGGUGCCAAUUUUGUCUGGCUAGGGAAAGUAAACUGCUGAAAACACUGGGGGGGAGAAAUGAAGCUAAUGGUAUCUUGAUCAGUCAGGAGGAUUGGGUAUUUGAAAGCAGGGAAGAAAAAUAAUUGGACUUGGAUAUUCCUUUGCCCCUUCAUCUGAGUAAGGUGAAAGCAAGUGACUCUUCAGAAGAGGUGAAUGGGACACUGAGUCCAGCAGCUCAGGCAGGGUGGAGUUGGUAACUGAUGGGCACAAGUCCUUUUACUGGGCUCUAAAGAACUCAUUCAUCUGGGUGUGGUGGCUUACACCUGUAAUCUCAGCAUUUCGGAAGGCUGAGGUAGGAGAAUCACUUGAGCCCAGGAGUUUGAGACCAGCCCGAGAAACACAGUGGGACCCUUUCCCUACAAAAAACUGAAGACCUUAUGAGCUUCCCUAGUCUAAGAGUAAUUUUUAUGUUAAUUUCUUGGCUUGGGCUUAAACCCCAACAAAGUGGUGAUUAUUCGGACCCCAGCCCUACCUCUCCCUAGUAUGCUCUCCUUUCUCAAGUGCUCACCACCUCUAGCCACGGUGAACUGCCUCCAGCAUACACACACGCUGAUAUUUUGUUGCAUCUGAGUGGGCUGGCUCCACACGGGAUCUGUAGUUUCCUUUUGAUAUUUUCUUUCAGUGUGCCAGAUGCUACCACUGAGUAAUCUAGAUUUUGCUGCCAAACUCUACCCCCGUUAGCACAGAGGGAAGACAGUAUGCCAGUGCUCUUGCUGAGUGUGCGUGACUGGCAGAAAACAGUCAUGGGUGUGAUGGUUGGAAGAAACAAACUGAGCAGAUCAUGUUUUUUAAAAUGAUUAUCUCAUUUUGUUAACUCUUGGUGGCAUUGUUAUAUUGUCGAUACUUAUGAAUUACAAAAGUUAGAUGACUGUAAAAAAAUAGAGAAUUAAGCAUUUCAUUUCUAGUAGUUCUGUUUGGUUCUUUUUCAAAUAUGUCAGUGAAUUUGUAUAAUAUCUCAUUUCUUAGUCUUGUGUUUAAUGAUUUUAUUUUUGUGUUUUUAUAAUUCCUUCUACUGCAUAUAUUUUAUAGUUUAAUUUAUAGUAACAACUGUUGACAAAAUUGUGACUAUUAAUGAAUACAGUAGAAAAGAACUUGGCCUCCUUUUCAUCGAAGCUGAUGAUGAGAUUAAAGCAGUGUUGGCCUGCGAGUGGAGUAUAGAUUUGGGCUGUCCAGAACACAUAAAAUUUGUAUUUAUCUUUCUGAUAAAAAAAAGUAAAAUAGUCUGAGUGCCAAUUUUUCCACUUUCAUUAAGCACAUUUAAUUUUAGUAAAUUUAACUUAGCAAAUUUAAUUUCUCCAGUUAUUUACAAAUAAUCAUAUUUAAGUGAAGUUUGGAUGAAUGGGCAAGCCCAUUUCAAAUUUCUAAACUAAUUUUUCCCCUUGUAUUCAUAUAAAAUUUUUCUAUUUAUGUGUUUUUAUUUUAAGAUAGCUCAAAUCUUUUGUGGACUGAUACUGUAUGUAUAUAAAUAAAUGGAUUCAGUGCUUCUUUCACUAAAUACAGCUAGAUAAAUAUAUAAAUAUACUUGAACACAAAUACAAAGCAACCAUUGGCAAUUUAGAGUUGGGUUGUGUUUCCACUUAUUUUUUGUUAAUAAAUUUGAUUUUAACCUGAAAUAUUGUCUUGUAGGAACAGAUAAAGAACACAAGAGGUGAUUUAACAUAAGUUUUAGCUGUGAAACUUAGAGUAGAUAGGUUAGCAACUUAAAUUUUGAAAGAAAAUAGGAUGAGUUUCAAUGGAAGAAGUUAAGAACACACCCAUUGCAUGAGCUCCUUACCCCUCCUACCCAGCCCCCUCCCAGGAGUGAGAUCUUUCCCCAGAUCCUCUGUAACUUCCUGAUGUUCCACUUAGAACAUCAGAAGCACUGAUGGCAAUUGCUGCCAUGUAGCAGUGCAUUGAGAGUCAGGGCCUCUGGCACCUCCAUGGGGCUCAGGGUCUGAAGACGUGAUCCAAACCUGACAACUUGGUGGCAGGUUCUGUGAGCAUUCAUGAUGAAGUUGUGAAAAGGGCUUGGGGUCUAGGAGGAUGGCAGCAGAGGUUUCUGCCUCCAGAACUCCCCCACUGGAAAGGAUUCUGAAAGAAAUGAAGUCAGCCCUCAGAAAUGAAGUUGACUGCCUGCUGGCUUUCUGUUGACUGGGCCGGAGCUGUACUGCAAGACCCUUGUGAGCUUCCCUAGUCUAAGAGUAGGAUGUCUGCUGAGGUCAUCCAUCAGGUUGAAGAAGCACUUGAUACAGAUGAGAAGGAGAUGCUGCUCUUUUUGUGCCGGGAUGUUGCUAUCGAUGUGGUUCCACCUAAUGUCAGGGACCUUCUGGAUAUUUUACGGGAAAGAGGUAAGCUGUCUGUCGGGGACUUGGCUGAACUGCUCUACAGAGUGAGGCGAUUUGACCUGCUCAAACGUAUCUUGAAGAUGGACAGAAAAGCCGUGGAGACCCACCUGCUCAGGAACCCUCACCUUGUUUCGGACUAUAGAGUGCUGAUGGCAGAGAUUGGUGAGGAUUUGGAUAAAUCUGAUGUGUCCUCAUUAAUUUUCCUCAUGAAGGAUUAUAUGGGCCGAGGCAAGAUAAGCAAGGAGAAGAGUUUCUUGGACCUUGUGGUUGAGUUGGAGAAACUAAAUCUGGUUGCCCCAGAUCAACUGGAUUUAUUAGAAAAAUGCCUAAAGAACAUCCACAGAAUAGACCUGAAGACAAAAAUCCAGAAGUACAAGCAGUCUGUUCAAGGAGCAGGGACAAGUUACAGGAAUGUUCUCCAAGCAGCAAUCCAAAAGAGUCUCAAGGAUCCUUCAAAUAACUUCAGGCUCCAUAAUGGGAGAAGUAAAGAACAAAGACUUAAGGAACAGCUUGGCACUCAACAAGAACCAGUGAAGAAAUCCAUUCAGGAAUCAGAAGCUUUUUUGCCUCAGAGCAUACCUGAAGAGAGAUACAAGAUGAAGAGCAAGCCCCUAGGAAUCUGCCUGAUAAUCGAUUGCAUUGGCAAUGAGACAGAGCUUCUUCGAGACACCUUCGCUUCCCUGGGCUAUGAAGUCCAGAAAUUCUUGCAUCUCAGUAUGCGUGGUAUAUCCCAGAUUCUUGGCCAAUUUGCCUGUAUGCCCGAGCACCGAGACUACGACAGCUUUGUGUGUGUCCUGGUGAGCCGAGGAGGCUCCCAGAGUGUGUAUGGUGUGGAUCAGACUCACUCAGGGCUCCCCCUGCAUCACAUCAGGAGGAUGUUCAUGGGAGAUUCAUGCCCUUAUCUAGCAGGGAAGCCAAAGAUGUUUUUUAUUCAGAACUAUGUGGUGUCAGAGGGCCAGCUGGAGGACAGCAGCCUCUUGGAGGUGGAUGGGCCAGCCAUGAAGAAUGUGGAAUUCAAGGCUCAGAAGCGAGGGCUGUGCACAGUUCACCGAGAAGCUGACUUCUUCUGGAGCCUGUGUACUGCGGACAUGUCCCUGCUGGAGCGGUCCCACAGGUCACCGUCCCUGUACCUGCAGUGCCUCUCCCAGAAACUGAGACAAGAAAGGGGGACAAUUCCCGGAAGUGGAAUUACAGAGUCAAAGGACACGCAUUUUUUCAAGCCUUGGAUGCAUCUUACUAGAUGUCCUAUAGGAUGGUCAUAUCAGCUUUAUAGGAGAGUAGCUGUGUCCCUGAAUUCUCCCUGACACUGCAUGCUCUUAUAUUUCCUCAAGUUUUGACAAUUUGAUGGGUGAAAAGUGGUAUCUGACUGUUCAGAUCUGGAAGGCUUUGUUAUAUAAACAUUUUUUUAAUGUUUAUUGGCAAGAAUACUUUUCUAAGAGAAACAUCAGUGAGCUGGUUUCCAUUUAAGCUGAAUGAAGCCACAAUGUACCUCAAGUAUAAGAUUAACUGGCCUUUUUCAGUUGCACUCUAAUUACAAUUUAGAAUGAUGUUUCUGAGCCACCUGUCAAAUGCAUUCUGGGCUGUACCUCUGCGUACCCCAGGAAUAAAUCUCAUGGCCUUCUUUACCUGGCCUCCUUAGUGGUGGCCCAGCAGGAAGCGGGGGUUAGAGCAGGAGCCACUCAGCCUUCCAAGAUAGAUACUCCAUGGGCCGGUGGUAUUACUGGCCUUUUAAGCCCAUCCCCAUUUGCAUAGAUGAUCCACGUGGGUUAUCAUCUGGCUGGUAUGUUCCCAGAGUGAAACUCAGCAGCCCCUUGAGGGAGGGGAUGGUGGCCAUCAGGCCAGAGUAUUGCAAGUUAGUUUGGAUCAUUUGCUAAGCAGCUUGUGGUGCCUUCAGAAAGGAACAGUUUCAAAGAACUUUCACAUCUGUUGCCUCAUUUCGCCCUAACGACAGUCUUCUCUUUGAUAUUUGCAUGGCAUUAAAUUUUGCCUUUCUUGUUUUCUCCAGAAAACGCCCACUCCUGGAUCUUCACAUUGAACUCAAUGGCUACAUGUAUGAUUGGAACAGCAGAGUUUCUGCCAAGGAGAAAUAUUAUGUCUGGCUGCAGCACACUCUGAGAAAGAAACUUAUCCUCUCCUACACAUAAGAAUCCAAAAGGCUGGGCGUAGUGGCUCACACGUGUAAUCCCAGCACUUUGGGAGGCCAAGGAGGGCAGAUCACUUCAGGUCAGGAGUUCGAGACCAGCCUGGCCAACAUGAGGCUGAAAAGUGUCGAAGAGACAGUUUUCAGGAACAACAAGCAAUUAUUCCUACUUUCCAAGUUAUUUUGAUGCCAUGGUGGCUCAUACCUAUAAUCUGAGUACUUUGGGAGGCUGAGGUGGACUGAUCACUUGAGCCCAGGAGUUUGAGACCAGCCUGGGCAACAUAGCAAGACUCCAUCUCUACAAAAAAAUACAAAAUUUAGCUGGAUGUGUUGGCGUGUUCCUGUAGUCCCAGCUACUUGGGAGGCUGAAGUGGGUGGAUCCUCGAGCCCAGAGAGGUCAAGGUUGUGGUGACCUGUGAUCACACCACUGCACUUCAGCAUGGGAGACAGAGUGAGACCCUGUCUCAGAAAAAAUAAAUAAAUAAAACCACCAGCACCACAAACAACAACAAAAAGUUAUUUUGUACUUGUUUUGAGCACAGGACUCCUGAGGGUAUCUUUGCAUUUAAUAUUGCAUAGGGGUGCCAGUGGGAAGUAAUGUGUAUGCUUGGCCUCAUGAGCUAAAACCCUGUGUUAAUUAUGACAGAAGGAAAGUGUGUGAAAGGGAUCUUAACUACUUAGCAGCUCUAGCUGCCAUCUUGAACCAUGAAGAUAAGGGCCACACGUAGGGGUAGCUGGGUAGUGAGCAGCAAGAAGCCUUGUUGGAUGAGGGCAUGAAGGAGCAGAAUCACUGGAAUCACUGUGUCAGCCCUAAUUACCUACCUCUGGACUUUUAUGUGAGGGGAAAAAAUUGACAGUUUAUAUUUAUCUCAACCUAGUUAACCCAAGUGAUGCAUUGUUAUGAGAUUAAAAUGUUUGGAGGCCGGGCGCAGUGGCUCACGCCUAUAAUCCCAGCCCUUUGGGAGGCCAAGGCGGGCGGAUCACGAGGUCAGGAGAUCAAGACCAUCCUGGCUAACAUGUAAAACCCCGUCUCUACUAAAAAUACAAAAAAUUAGCCAGGCGUUGUGGCGGGAGCCUGUAGUCCCAGCUAUUUGGGAGGCCGAGGCAGGAGAAUGGCAUGAACCUGGGAGGUGGAGCUUGCAGCGAGCUGAGAUCUUGCCACUGCACCCCAGCCUGGGCGACAGUGCGAGACUCUGUCUCAAAAAUAAAUAAAUAAAUAAAUAAAUAAAUAAAUAAAUAAAUAAAUAAAUAAAAUGUUUGGAAUGUUGGCUUCAUCCCUGGGAUGCAAGGCUGGUUCAACAUACGCAAAUCAAGAAACAUAAUUCAUCACAUAAACAGAACUAAAGACAAAAACCACAUGAUUAUCUCAAUAGAUACAGAAAAGGCCUUCAAUAAAAUUCAACGUUGCUUCAUGUUAAAAACUCUCAAUAAACUAGGUAUUGAUGGAAAAUAUCUCAAAAUAAUAACCAUUUAUGACAAACCCACAGCCAAUAUCAUACUGAAUGGGCAAAAGCUGGAAGCAUUCCCCUUGAAAACUGGCACAAGACAGGGAUGCCGUCUCUCACCACUCCUAUUUAACAUAGUAUUGGAAGUUCUGGCCAAGAAAAUCAGGCAAGAGAAACAAAUAAGGGGUAUUCAAAUAGGAAAAGAGGAAGUAAAACUGUCUGUUUGCAGAUGACAUGAUACUAUAUCUAGAAAACCCCAUUAUCUCUGCCCAAAAGUUCCUUAAGCUGAUAAGCAACUUCAGCAAAGUCUCAGGAUACAAAAUCAAUGUGCAGAAAUCACAAGCAUUCUAUACACCAACAAUACACAAGCAGAGAGCCAAAUCAUGAAUGAACUCCCAUUCACAGUUGCUAGAAAGAAUAAAAUACCUAGGAAUACAGCUAAUAAGAUGUGAAGGAUCUCUUCAAGGAGAACUACAAACCACUGCUCAAGGAAAUAAGAGAGGACACAAAUGAAAAAACAUUCCAUUCUCGUGGAUAGGAAGAAUCAAUAUCAUGAAAAUGGCCAUACUACCCAAAGUAAUUUGUAGGUUCGUUGCUAUUCCCAUUAAACUACUAUUGACAUUCUUCACAGAAUUAGAAAAAAACUACUUUAAAAUUCAAAUGGAACCAAAAAAGAGCCCGUAUAACCAAGACAACAAUAAGCAAAAAGAACAAAGCUGGAAGCAUCACACUACCCAACUUCAAAGUAUACUGCAAGGCUACAGUAGCCAAAAUGGCAUGGUACUGGUACAAAAACAGACACAUAGACCAAUGGAACAGAAUAGAGACCAGAGAAAGAAGACCACACAUCUACAGCCAUCUGAUCAUCGACAAACCUGACAAAAACAAGCAAUGGGGAAAGAUUCCCUAUUUAAUAAAUGGUGCUGGGAAAACUGGCUAGCCAUAUGCAGAAAAUUGAAACUGACCCCUUCCUUACACCUUAUACAAAAAUUAACUCAAGAUUAAAGACUUAAUGUAAAACCUAAAACUAUAAAAACCCUAGAAGAAAAUCUAUUUAAUACCAUUCAAGACAUAGGCACAAGCAAAGGUUUCAUGACAAAAACAUCAAAAGCAAUUGCAACAAAAGCAGAAAUUACAAAUGGGAUCUAAUUAAACUAAAGAGCUCCUGCACAGCAAAAGAAACUAUCAUUAGAGUGAACAGGCAACCUACAGAAUGGGAGAAAAUUUUUGCAAUCUAUCCAUCUGACAAAGGUCUAAUAUCCAGAACCUACAAGGAACUUAAAACAAAUUUACAAGGAAAAAAACAACCCCAUCAAAAAGUGGACAAAGGACAUGAACAGACACUUCUCAAAAGAAGACAUUUAUGUGGCCAACAAACAUUAAAAAAAAGCUCAACCUUACUGAUCAUUAGAGAAAUGCAAAGGAGAACCACAAUGAGAUACCAUCUCAUGCCGGUCAGAAUGGUGAUUAUUAAAAAGUCAAAAAACAACAGAUGCUGGCGAGGCUGUGGAGAAGUAGGAACACUUUUACAUUGUUGGUGGGAAUGUAAAUUAGUUCAACCAUUGUGGAAGUGUGUGUGGCUAUUCCUCAAAGAUCUAGAACUAGAAAUACUAUUUGUCCCAGCAAUCCCAUUACUGGGUAUAUACCCAAAGGAAUAUAAACCAUUUUAUUAUAAAGAUACAUGCACAUUUUUGUUCAUUGCAGCACUCUUCACAAUAGCAAAGACACAAUAGCAAAUGCCCAUCAAAGAUAGACUGGAUAAAGAAAAUGUGGUACAUAUACACCAUGGAAUACUGUGCAGUGCAGCCGUUACAGCUUUUGGUGAUACAGUGAAUCAGAUUUUUCAUUAAUUCUUUUAAUUGGUUAUUACUGAACAUGAAAAAGUAAUCUUUGUAUUGAAAUCUUGAGUCUGGCCAUGUUUCUAUUUUAAAUUCAUAAAGAAUUCUAACAGAAGAGGAAUUCAAAGAAUGUCAUAAAUGGAUGUUUCUCCAUGGAUGAAGGAACUGUUUUAUUCACUUGCUGAUAAUUCAGCCUAAUCCAGUUUGACAUCAUAUAGAUAAGUAGUUGAAUUAUGGAUUUAAAAUACAUAUCAUUUUCUAACUCCAAAGGUAAUACUUAUUUAAAUGGUUUUGAAAAUAUAGAAAGGCACAAUUUUUUUUUAAAUCUGUUAUUCUCCACCACCACUCAAUCUGUCUAUCAUCUAUCUCUCCAUUCAUUCUUCCAUUUGUUUAUAUCUGUUAAUCUUUGUAUGUGUUCAUGUAUAGCUUUUACAUGAUUGGAAUCAUAAUGCAUAUUCCAUUUUGAAGUCUGCUUUUUUUUACACAAAAAUAUGUUGUGAAUAUUUUCCUAUAUUAUGAAAUAUCAUUAGCUGAGCUUUUAGAAUUGACUGCAUGUUUUGGUACCAUUUAGAUAUAGUUUAAGAUAGUUAGAAGUUAUGUGGCUUUGCCACUAUGGAUGAAUCUUAUUUACUCAAUAUUAAUUACUUACAAAUAACCUCACCUAAACACUACUCAGCCAUAAAAAGGAAUGAAUUAAUGACAUUCACAGCAACCUGGAGACUAUUACUCUAAAGGAAGUAACUCAGGAAUGGAAAACCAAACAUUUUAUGUUCUCACUCAUAAGUGGGAGAUAAGCUAUGAGGAUGCAAAGGCAUAAGAAGGAUACAAUGGACUUUGGGGACUCAGGGGAAAGGGUGGGAGGGGGUGAAGGAUAAAAGAAUACAAACUGGGUUCAGUGUAUACUGCUCAAGUGAUGGGUGCACCAGAAUCUCACAAGUAACCACUUACUCAUGCAUGUAACCAGAUACCAGAUUACUUAUCCAUGUAACCAGAUUACUUAUGCAUGUAACCAGAUACCAUCUGUUCCCCGAACACCUAUGGAAAUAAUUUUGUUUUUUUUUUUUAAAAAAGGAAUGAGAUCAUGUCCUUUGCAGGGACAUGGAUGAAGCUGGAAGCCAUUAUCCUCAGCAAACUAACAGAGGAGCAGGAAACCAAACACCACGUGUUCUCACUUGUAAGCAGAAGCUGAACAAUGAGAACACACGGACACAGGGAUGAGAUCAACACACACUGGGGCCUGAUGCAGGGGCCGUAGCGGGGAGAGCAUCAGGAUAACUAGCUAAUGUAUGUGGGGCUUAAUACCUAGGUGAUAGGUUGAUAGGUGCAGCAAACCACCAUGGGACACGUUUACCUAUUAACAAACCCGCACAUCCUGCACUUGUAUCCAGAACUUAAAAUAAAAUAUUUUAAAAAUCUUUAGAGAAUACAAAAAAAAAAGAUUCUUAAAUGCAUACACAAUAAAAUGCAGUUCAGUCAAACAUUGGAAGUCUUUCUCUAACUGUCUAGUUGGUAUCUUCAUUUUCAGCUUCUUCAAGAUCCCACUCCAAACACUGUUAGCUCAGCCAAAUUGAACAGCUCAUAUCUCCUACCUCUGGAUCUUUGGUUCUGGUGAUUGUAUAUUUCUGGACCAUCUGGAACCCCAGCAUAUCACCCUACCCCACAUCUCCACAUCCCCAAAAUAUAACCAUACUUCAAGGGCAGUUCAAAUACUGUCUCCUUCUAUCCUCCAUGAAGUCAGUUAUCUCUUCCAUUGGAAUUAUCGCCCCCUCUCCUGAACAGUACUAUUUCGUGUGAAUCUCCUCCAAGCCUUCUUUUCAUUUUAUAUCUCAUGCUGUAGUUCUUGGAGAGUAUGCUGUAGCUCAAGUGCAGAAUUCUCAUCAGUUUUAUCUUUAUAUCUCUCCUAAACACUUUACCUGAUGAAGAGCCUGGCAUACACAUAAAUAUAUAUUGAAUGAGUCAGUGAUGGAUUGAAAAGAGAAAUGAUGGAUCUCCUAAAUUUUAACUUUUAUAAAAUAUUUUGAUACAUUCAUGACCUUACUUUAGCAAGCAAUGUACUGAACAUGAUGUAAACUAUUGUUGAUAUAGUUUUUAUAUUGGAAGUGUAAGUAGUUUGUGGCAUGGGAUUGUGACGUAUCCUAGGUUUCCUCGUCUUCUUUUUAUUGAAAUGUAAUUCACAAGCCAUAAAAUUUGCCCCUUUAAAGUAAAUGAUGCAGUGGAUUUUAGUAUAUUUACAGAGUUGUGCAAUCAUCACCACUAUCUAAUUCCAGAACAUUUCCAUCUACCUAGAAAGGAACUCCAUACCAGUGAGCUGCCACUCUAAUCCUCCUCUUCCCCCAGCCUCUAGAAACAAUAAUCCAUUUUCUGUCUCUACGAUUUGCCUAUUCUGGAUAUUUUAUAAAAAUAAACAUGUGGCCUUUCGUGUCUGACUUCCUUCACUUA